CUCUGGCAGAAAGCAUGCAACCUUUCACUAUUAAAUGCUAGCAACAGAAGGCCAGGCUCUGUGGCUCACGCCUGUAAUCCCAGCACUUUGGGAGGCCGAGGCGGGUGGAUCACAUGGUCAGGAGUUCGAGACAUUCCUGGCUAACACUGUGAAACCCCGUCUCUACUAAAAAUACAAAAAGUUAGCUGGGUGUGGUGGCGGGCGCCUGUAGUCCCAGCUACUCGGGAGGCUGAGGCAGGAGAAUGGCGUGAACCCCAGGGGGCGGAGCCUGCAGUGAGCCGAGAUUGCGCCACUGCACUCCAGCCUGGGCGACAGCGAGACUCCGUCUCAAAAAAAAAAAAAAAAAGAAAAACAACCUUCCUUCCAUUGCAAUCCCAGCAUCCCUGAGAGAGGGCACCCAGCCUCUGCUCAAAUUGUCCGAUGACAGGAUGGGGAGGGUGCCAUAAGUCCCCUUAUUGGGCUGACUGAGUAGUGUGGAGCCAGCCAAAGCCACUUCCCUCAAACCUCUGCCAGCCCCCACCCCUAAAGACUUGACCUCCAGGGCAACGGGAUUCCACUCCUGCAGCUGUUCCUCACGACAUGAUCACCAAGAAACUGUUUUAUCGCCCCAUAAAAGAUUCCCAGCUGACAUGUGCAGAAUUAAAGUGCCCUCCAUAUGUACACAAUUUCCUUCUGCAACUUCCCUGGGAAGGCCAAGCCAUCCUUAUGUUCUUACCACAUCCCUUGGGGGAAAAAGAAUCUGCAAAGCACACGUCUGUAACACUGGCCAGCCUGGAGGCGUGCCACCUUUCAGGGGAAUCAUAAAAAAGAUUUUCCAUAACCACAUCACUCUGAACAAUAAUCCUUUUU
rnacentral:lncRNA from 1 species